rnacentral:rRNA from 1 species
GAAUUCGCCCUUAGAGUUUGAUCCUGGCUCAGGACGAACGCUGGCGGCGCGCCUAACACAUGCAAGUCGAACGAGCGAGAGAGAGCUUGCUUUCUCAAGCGAGUGGCGAACGGGUGAGUAACGCGUGAGGAACCUGCCUCAAAGAGGGGGACAACAGUUGGAAACGACUGCUAAUACCGCAUAAGCCCACAGCUCGGCAUCGAGCAGAGGGAAAAGGAGCAAUCCGCUUUGAGAUGGCCUCGCGUCCGAUUAGCUAGUUGGUGAGGUAAUGGCCCACCAAGGCAACGAUCGGUAGCCGGACUGAGAGGUUGAACGGCCACAUUGGGACUGAGACACGGCCCAGACUCCUACGGGAGGCAGCAGUGGGGAAUAUUGCACAAUGGGGGAAACCCUGAUGCAGCGACGCCGCGUGGAGGAAGAAGGUCUUCGGAUUGUAAACUCCUGUUGUUGAGGAAGAUAAUGACGGUACUCAACAAGGAAGUGACGGCUAACUACGUGCCAGCAGCCGCGGUAAAACGUAGGUCACAAGCGUUGUCCGGAAUUACUGGGUGUAAAGGGAGCGCAGGCGGGAAGACAAGUUGGAAGUGAAAUCUAUGGGCUCAACCCAUAAACUGCUUUCAAAACUGUUUUUCUUGAGUAGUGCAGAGGUAGGCGGAAUUCCCGGUGUAGCGGUGGAAUGCGUAGAUAUCGGGAGGAACACCAGUGGCGAAGGCGGCCUACUGGGCACCAACUGACGCUGAGGCUCGAAAGUGUGGGUAGCAAACAGGAUUAGAUACCCUGGUAGUCCACACCGUAAACGAUGAUUACUAGGUGUUGGAGGAUUGACCCCUUCAGUGCCGCAGUUAACACAAUAAGUAAUCCACCUGGGGAGUACGACCGCAAGGUUGAAACUCAAAGGAAUUGACGGGGGCCCGCACAAGCAGUGGAGUAUGUGGUUUAAUUCGACGCAACGCGAAGAACCUUACCAAGUCUUGACGUCCUGCGACGAUGCUGGAAACAGUAUUUUCCUUCGGGACGCAGAGACAGGUGGUGCAUGGUUGUCGUCAGCUCGUGUCGUGAGAUGUUGGGUUAAGUCCCGCAACGAGCGCAACCCUUACUGUCAGUUACUACGCAAGAGGACUCUGGCAGGACUGCCGUUGACAAAACGGAGGAAGGUGGGGAUGACGUCAAAUCAUCAUGCCCUUUAUGACUUGGGCUACACACGUACUACAAUGGCGUUAAACAAAGAGAAGCAAGACCGCGAGGUGGAGCAAAACUCAGAAACAACGUCCCGGUUCGGACUGCAGGCUGCAACUCGCCUGCACGAAGUCGGAAUUGCUAGUAAUCGUGGAUCAGCAUGCCACGGUGAAUACGUUCCCGGGCCUUGUACUCACCGCCCGUCA